rnacentral:rRNA from 1 species
GUAGGGAAUCUUGCGCAAUGGGCGAAAGCCUGACGCAGCCAUGCCGCGUGAAUGAUGUAGGUCUUAGGAUUGUAAAAUUCUUUCACCGGGGACGAUAAUGACGGUACCCGGAGAAGAAGCCCCGGCUAACUUCGUGCCAGCAGCCGCGGUAAUACGAAGGGGGCUAGCGUUGCUCGGAAUUACUGGGCGUAAAGGGAGCGUAGGCGGAUAGUUUAGUCAGAGGUGAAAGCCCAGGGCUCAACCUUGGAAUUGCCUUUGAUACUGGCUGUCUUGAGUACGGGAGAGGUGAGUGGAACUCCGAGUGUAGAGGUGAAAUUCGUAGAUAUUCGGAAGAACACCAGUGGCGAAGGCGACUCACUGGCCCGUUACUGACGCUGAGGCGCGAAAGCGUGGGGAGCAAACAGGAUUAGAAACCCGGGUAGUCC